GAUGAACGCUGGCGGCGUGCUUAACACAUGCAAGUCGAACGAGGAAGCCCAGCUUGCUGGGUGGAUUAGCGGCGAACGGGUGAGUAACACGUGAGUAACCUGCCCUUAACUCUGGGAUAAGCCUGGGAAACUGGGUCUAAUACCGGAUAGGAGCGUCCACCGCAUGGUGGGUGUUGGAAAGAUUUAUCGUUUUUGGAUGGACUCGCGGCUUAUCAGCUUGUUUGUGAGGUAAUGGCUCACCAAGGCGACGACGGGUAGCCGGCCUGAGAGGGUGACCGGCCACACUGGGACUGAGACACGGCCCAGACUCCUACGGGAGGCAGCAGUGGGGAAUAUUGCACAAUGGGCGCAAGCCUGAUGCAGCGACGCCGCGUGAGGGAUGACGGCCUUCGGGUUUUAAACCUCUUUCAGUAGGGAAGAAGCGAAAGUGACGGUACCUGCAGAAGAAGCACCGGCUAACUACGUG
rnacentral:rRNA from 1 species